UUAAUGAUCAUACAACUGGGUGACACAGAAGUUGUCAAAGUCAAUCGCUAUAGAAACUAAUACCGAGCAGUGUUUUAAUAAAGUUUACUUGACGCCUGUGAUUCAAUAAUUACAAAUAAAAGUACUUUUAGGAUUUUUUUGAAUUUUGUACUAUACCUUGUAAGUAAGGUAUUAGUUUGUAAGUCAAUAAAAUCAGAAUUAGAAAAGUUUUUCAUGUAAAAUAUGACGAAAGUUGAGAAUAUAUAUGUUUACCGACAUUGCCAUGUACAAUACAAUGCAUGUAGCAUUUGUAUUGUACGCGGAAACGGAACGAAAAAGAUGUCUUUGUCGAGUUCAUUGCAAAACUUUCGUGUCGCGAUACCAGCAGGUUUUAGAAGAAAUACAAAGUCUUCGAACAACUGCUGUUCGCAAUGAAUUAGAGAUAAGUCUUGGCAGCUUUAAACUUUUAUGCCAAUGGAUCAUACAAAUGGCUUUGUGAUGGCUAAGGCAUCUUUUAGCAAAUGCCUACAUGAAGUCGCUGACGCUCCUGAAUACCCCAGCUGUUUAAAAAAAAUGUGUUAAGUUCCCUUUGCAUUAAACACAAAAUCAUUAUAAAUAAAUUUAUGAAAAAAUUUGGAUUGCCCGGGUAUUAGGGCGCAUUGAUUGCACCCAUGUGACAAUAGUUCGGCCUACAAGCCAAGAGCUACUAGGAGGCUAACAAUUAGAAUUGAAUAAAAGCAUGGUGACCAAUGUUUGCAUGAUGACCCCCAUCUUGGGAGCUGCUCCUAGAUCCCAUGAAGAUAUGCACAACAUUGCUGUGUCAGAAAUACGGUGGAGCCUUGUAGUUGGGUGCAUAUUGUAAAAUGUUUCCUCACUCCAAAACCAUGAACUCUGGUUUCCUAAACCCUCAAGCUAUGCAGCCGAAGGAGGAGACUUAUCACAGGAGAAUCACUAAUAAUUUUGAAGAAGUGAAGAGCUUAACAAUGUUUCAACCAACACCUAAAGAAGCUUUCACUUGGCUGUUAGAUCAAGGGCUGGAUACAGAAAACAGUAAUCCUUGUGAUGGCAGUAUUGUCCAAGGAUUCCUCACUCAAAACCAUGAUAACAAGUUGCUAGAACCCUCAAGCUAUGCACACAAAGGACUGGAUAUAUUUUUUCGUGACCAAGCCUUCUGUAUAAUUAUUUAUACUUAAACCAUACAAAGCACUAUCUAGCCCCAAAGUAGGCAUACAGAGUAGCUUGUGUUGUGGGUACUAAGAUAGUUGAUAUUAUAAUAUUCAUUUACAUUUAUAUACUACCUAUAAAUACUUAUAUAAUGUAUAAAUACACACACACUGGAAAAAACCCAUGCUCUUCACACAAAUAUUUUCCAGGUGUGGGAAUCGAACCCAUGACCGUGGAUGCAGGAGCACUACUUACUGCGCCACGCGUAUGUGUUUUUAUUUUGAAGCAAAUUAUUAAAGUUGAUAAUUCAAAUUGUAGUCAUGUUUUUAAUUAAUCUAUAAUUAAUUUUUAAUUUACAUUUUUUUAAAUUUGUCAACAACAAUAUAUCAAGUCUGAAUAAAAAAUACCAACACAAGUAAAUAUAUUUUUUAUUUUUAAGUAAUAGAUGUUACACAAAUAUAGAACUACCUGGCCCUAACUGCUUAACAUUAAACAACAUUGUUUUUAAUCAAAUCAUUAUUUAUUUAUUUCCUACAAUGUGGUAGGUACAUGUUUUGUUCUUAAAAUUAUUGAAGUGUAUAGAUAAACAACUAAUGUAGUAUUCAAUUUUUUCUUUUACAAUUACUUAAAUAAUCAUCAUCAUCAUCAUCAUCAUCAUCAUCAUCAUCAUCAUCAUCAUCAUCAUCAUCAUCAUCAUCAUCAUCAUCAUCAUCAUUAUAAACACAUAUUCGGCUCACUGCUGAGCUCGAGUCUCCCCCAGUAAGAGGGGUUAGUGCCUACCCGCACUCGGGAGACCCCGCACUGGAAAGCGUGGUUGGUCGGUUGGUUGGAUGUUCGCGGCUCAAGGUCGUUGUGCUUGGAGGUCCAUGUAAGAGGCCUAUGUCCAGCAGUGGACGUCUAUCGGCUGAUAAGGUAAGGGAAGGCCAAUGCCUAACCCCUCUCAUUCUGACAGGAGCCGAAUAUGGGCCAGCAUAUUUGGAUUACAUUGGCAGACAUCACAUAUGCAGAGAAUUAAGAGAAUUCUCUGGUAUGCAGGUUUCCUCGCGACGUUUUCCUUCACUGUUUGAGACACGUGAUAUUUAGUUUCUUAAAAUGCACACAACUGAAAAGUUGGAGGUGCGUGCCCCGGAACGGGUUCGAACCCACACCCUCCGGAAUUGGAGGCAGAGGUCACAUUCACUGGGCUAUUAGGGAUAAUAAUAAUAGUUAAAUAAUAUUUCCUCCUAAUAAUAGAUAAUAAAACAUAUUUUGAUGUGCAAUUUUACAAUAAAAUUUUUAUCUAAUACUAUGUAAUACUGAAAUUAACCAAAUGAUAAUAAUCAUAUUCUUUAUAUACAGUGAUGUCAUAAUUAACUAUAUUAAAUUAAAAUGAAAUUAUAUUUGACAAUUUUCUCUCAUAUGCAAUGUCAUUAUUGAUAAUAAUCUUAUAAAAAAUCUGUUCAUUAAAUGUUUGUUUAAUUCUUUCUUCAUGAAUCGUUCAUAGAGAUGAAGGAUUCAGAAUCACCAAUUUUUUCAAGGUGUUUUGCACCUCAAUGGUGACCAGCGACAUGGAGACUUCCAUAGUCAGUCCCUGGCACUCAAAGUUUAGAGCCCACAUCUUCAUGUUGAUCUGAAAUGUAGAAAAUAUUUUUUUAUUACAUGAACUACAUAUGCCCCCGGUUUCUUUAAGUAGAUCUCAUUCCUGUGGGAAUAUUGAGAUAAGAAAUGGCCUAUGUAUUAUACCUUGAUUAAGAGUUUAUAUAAAUGACAAAUCUAGGGGGGGGUUUAUUGAUAUAUUUAUACCUCAGGUAUAUUACUUGGUUCUACAAUAUAUUUCUGUGAGAUGGUGAUAACAAAAAUAAUACUUUGUUGUAUUUAUGUUGAGCUUCUUUUCAGACGAAGAAUGUUUGUGAUCCUUUAGUUUCAGGUUAAUGAAUAUUGUUAUCAUAAACAAUACAUUAUUGUAAAUGAUAACAAUAUUCAUUAUAUGUGAUAUUUAACAAAUCAAAAUGUGCAAUAUUUAUUAAGCUGAACAUGUACAUAAUAAAAGAAAAUAUAAAGUACAAAUUAUUAUUUGAAUUAGCAAUUAUUAUCAUUAAGAAUUACAUACACUGGAUUAGGUAAUACUAUUCAUUCAUUCAUGAUUAGACCAAUAGUCCACCACUCUGACCCAAAGCGGAUUAGCAGACUUCACAUAAGCAGAGAAUUAAGAGAAUUAUCUGGUAUGCAGGUUUCCUCACGAUGUUUUCCUUCACCAUUUGAUACAUGUGAUAUUUAAUAUCUUAAAAUGUACACAACUGAAAAGUUGGAGCUGCAUGCCCCGGACUGGAUACAAACCCACACCCUCUGGAAUCUGAGGCAGAGGUUACAUCCACUGGGCUAUUGCUGUGCUUAUGGACCUAUAUCCCUGGCAAACCCUCUAGUCUAUACUCUACAGCAACUGGGCUUUUAUGGGAUUAAACUGAGCUCUUUUGUUUUUUGAUUUGCCUUAUAUUUUAUCCAGUUUUGUAGGAGAUACAUAAACUUGUAGGAUUUAACUUAACUAUAUAUUGUAAUUGAAAUUUGAAUUAAUUAUUUUAAGUGGCUAGCCUCAAUCAUCAUAAAAAAAUUACUAAUCAAGGUAGGAUUUUAUAUUUAGCCUUAAUGUAACUAAAACAAACACCUACAAAUACAAACAAUUCUAAUACAUCUGCAUAAUGAGACAAAGUUUGAUUUUGAUUAUUUGUCUUGUACCUAUAUCCCUGGCAAACCCUCUAGUCUAUACUCUGCAGCAACUGGGCUUUUAUGGGAUUAAACUGAGCUCUUUUGUUUUUUGAUUUGCCUUAUAUUUUAUCCAGUUUUGUAGGAGAUACAUAUACUUGUAGGAUUUAACUUAACUAUAUAUUGUAAUCAAUCAUCAUAAAAAAAUUACUAAUCAAGGUAGGAUUUUAUAUUUAGCCUUAAUGUAACUAAAAAAAACACCUACAAAUACAAACAAUUCUAAUACAUCUGCAUAAUGAGACAAAGUUUGAUUUUGAUUAUUUGUCUUGUACUUAAUGCUUAGAACUUAAAGGUUACAUGGUGCAGGUAUAGUUGUGGUUUAAAAAGGCUUGUUAAUGCAAUAUGCUAGUCACAAAACCAAGUAUUAUGUUAAACUUAUAAUAGAAAAUCAUGAAUUUCAAUUGAAUAUAAUUACUAUCUGAUGCUCGACAGUUCCACCUGCAUAGUUCUCACUCUCUUGGGACUACAGGGAUAAAAUAUAGCCUAUUACACUCGCAAGUUAUGUGAGUUUCUAUUGGUGAAAGAAUUUUCGAAAUCGGUUUAGUAGAUCCAGAGAUUACCCCCUACAAUAUCAAAAAUUUCCUCUCAUCCUCUUUAAAAUAAUAAUAUAGAAUAUAGAUAUGUGAUAACUUACACAACGCCACUGGCAGACGCGAACACGGAAGGUUUAUUUAGUAGCCUGACUUUCCAAAGGCCCUCCAAAACAACCCAUCGCCAAGUUUGAUCCAAGCCAAGGCGAUCAUUGAGUUUCCCGGACAUCUUUAGUUGCAAGCGAUGAACUUUAAUAAACAAAACACUAUACAAUAUACUUUACAGACGAUAAAACUUUGAAGAACUUUCGUGUAGAUAAUGUUUUAUGUAAAAGUGGCCGUUUACUUUGAUAAAUUAACUAUUAACACUAAUAAAAAUGUAUACGAGAAAAUGAUUAAUUAAUUACUUCUAUUGAAAACAAAAAACUAGCAGUAGCAAGUACUUUGAUCCAACGAAACCAAUUUUUUUAUUAAUAUUUUAAUACGGCUUUGUUUACCAACAAAGAAACUAUGGCACUUCACUUCACCACAGACAAACAGCAAAAUCAAGUAUAAUGCGUAUAUGUGCAAAAGUAUGCCGCACCCGUAGUAAGUAGUACCGGGAAAGGGUGUAUUUUAUUUAGUCGCAUAAUGUCGAUAAAAUUUUGCGCCUAGAACGAUAUCACUAGGCAUUGUGGCUGUCUUUUGUCUUACAUAAUCGGAAUUGCAAAAACACUCUAGUGUUCAAUUUAGCUUUGCGUUACACAGUUAGAAGUGAUACGUCGAGAUACAUAAUCAGCCUGCAGCAGGGUCAUUAUGUAACUCGGUGAACGCUUUAAAAUCACAGUCACGACAACAAAUGACAGCGAUUUUUCGUUUUUGCGAUCAUGUAACACACAUCUCCCACCGAAAUGACGUCAUCUUGGAUCGUUCUCUGUCACGGUCACUUGUAGGGAUUUAUCCAAGUUAUAACGCAGUUUUUACGUAUCGAUAGUCAGUUUAAGCGAUUAUUGUUUACCGACAUUGCCAUGUACAAUACAAUGCAUGUAGCAUUUGUAUUGUACGCGGAAACGGAACGAAAAAGAUGUCUUUGUCGAGUUCAUUGCAAAACUUUCGUGUCGCGAUACCAGCAGGUUUUAGAAGAAAUACAAAGUCUUCGAACAACUGCUGUUCGCAAUGAAUUAGAGAUAAGUAAGUUAUAUGAAUGAAUGAAGGAAUUUUCUUCAUUCUCUGCGUUGAGCAAGUGACGUGGACUAUGGGCCUAACCCCUCCCAUUCUGAGAGGAGACUCGAGCUCAGCAGUGAGCCGAAUAUGGUAUUUUUAUAUGGUCUUGGCAGCUUUAAACUUUUAUGCCAAUGGAUCAUACAAAUGGCUUUGUGAUGGCCAAGGCAUCUUUUAGCAAAUGCCUACAUGAAGUCGCUGACGCUCCUGAAUACCCCAGCUGUUUAAAAAAAAUGUGUUAAGUUCCCUUUGCAUUAAACACAAAAUCAUUAUAAAUAAAUAUGUGAUGCCAAUCUAAUAAUAACAUAGUGGAUGCUCAAUUUGGUGGUGCAUCUUAUGACUUGUACAUAUGGAACCAGUGCAAUAAGACCACUUGAGGAAAACCUGCCCAAUAGUGACCGCUGUUGGUUGUUAGGUGACCAAUGUUUGCAUGAUGACCCCCAUCUUGGGAGCUGCUCCUAGAUCCCAUGAAGAUAUGCACAACAUUGCUGUGUCAGAAAUACGGUGGAGCCUUGUAGUUGGGUGCAUAUUGUAAAAUGUUUCCUCACUCCAAAACCAUGAACUCUGGUUUCCUAAACCCUCAAGCUAUGCAGCCGAAGGAGGAGACUUAUCACAGGAGAAUCACUAAUAAUUUUGAAGAAGUGAAGAGCUUAACAAUGUUUCAACUAACGCCUAAAGAAGCUUUCACUUGGCUGUUAGAUCAAGGGCUGGAUACAGAAAACAGUAAUCCUUGUGAUGGCAGUAUUGUCCAAGGAUUCCUCACUCAAAACCAUGAUAACAAGUUGCUAGAACCCUCAAGCUAUACAGACAAAGGACUGGAUAUAUUUUUUCGUGACCAAGCCUUCUGUAUAAUUAUUUAUACUUAAACCAUACAAAGCACUAUCUAGCCCCAAAGUAGGCAUACAGAGUAGCUUGUGUUGUGGGUACUAAGAUAGUUGAUAUUAUAAUAUUCAUUUACAUUUAUAUACUACCUAUAAAUACUUAUAUAAUGUAUAAAUACACACACACUGGAAAAAACCCAUGCUCUUCACACAAAUAUUUUCCAGGUGUGGGAAUCGAACCCAUGACCGUGGAUGCAGGAGCACUACUUACUGCGCCACGCGUAUGUGUUUUUAUUUUGAAGCAAAUUAUUAAAGUUGAUAAUUCAAAUUGUAGUCAUGUUUUUAAUUAAUCUAUAAUUAAUUUUUAAUUUACAUUUUUGUUAAAUAUUUACCUAUACUUCAGUCUAUUUUUGUUAGAGGGGGUACCUAUAUGUGUAAGUAGGGUCGUUUCUUGAUUAAAUUAAACUAAAGAAUGAAAGAUAUAUAUUAUAACAAAAUUUGUCAACAACAAUAUAUCAAGUCUGAAUAAAAAAUACCAACACAAGUAAA